AACGAACGCUGGCGGCGUGCCUAACACAUGCAAGUCGUGCGAGAAAGUUCCUUCGGGAGCGAGUAAAGCGGCGCACGGGUGAGUAACACGUAGGUAACCUGCCCCCCAGUCUGGAACAACUAGAGGAAACUCUAGCUAAUGCCGGAUAAGACCACGGCCCCCUCGGGGGCUGCGGCCAAAGAUGGCCUCUACUUGUACGCUAUCGCUGAGGGAUGGGCCUGCGGGCCAUUAGCUUGUUGGUGAGGUAACGGCUCACCAAGGCUGUGAUGGCUAGCUGGUCUGAGAGGAUGACCAGCCACACUGGGACUGAGACACGGCCCAGACUCCUACGGGAGGCAGCAGUGGGGGAAUAUUGCGCAAUGGGCGAAAGCCUGACGCAGCGACGCCGCGUGGGUGAUGAAGGCCUUCGGUCGGU
rnacentral:rRNA from 1 species